UACGUAGGGGGCAAGCGUUGUCCGGAAUUAUUGGGCGUAAAGGGCUCGUAGGCGGUUUGUCGCGUCGGGAGUGAAAACCUUGGGCUUAACUCAGGGCUUGCUUUCGAUACGGGCAGACUAGAGGUAUGCAGGGGAGAACGGAAUUCCUGGUGUAGCGGUGGAAUGCGCAGAUAUCAGGAGGAACACCGGUGGCGAAGGCGGGUCUCUGGGCCGAUACUGACGCUGAGGAGCGAAAGCGUGGGGAGCGAACAGG
rnacentral:rRNA from 1 species